rnacentral:rRNA from 1 species
GACGAACGCUGGCGGCGUGCUUAACACAUGCAAGUCGAACGGAAAGGCCUGCUUUCCCUUGUGGAUUGCGGGUACUCGAGUGGCGAACGGGUGAGUAACACGUGAGUGAUCUGCCCCCAACUUGGGUAUAAGCCUGGGAAACUGGGUCUAAUUCCCGAUAGGACUGCAGGGUGGUGCCUGUGGUGAAAAACGAUUUUCUAGUGGUUGGGGAUGAGCUCGCGGCCUAUCAGCUUGAUGGUGGGGUAAUGGCCUACCAAGGCGGCGACGGGUAGCCGGCCUGAGAGGGUGGACGGCCACAUUGGGACUGAGAUACGGCCCAGACUCCUACGGGAGGCAGCAGUGGGGAAUAUUGCACAAUGGGCGGAAGCCUGAUGCAGCGACGCCGCGUGGGGGAUGACGGCCUUCGGGUGGUAAACUCCUUUCGACCGCGAGGAAGCCACCUGGUUGGAAGGGUGGUGACGGUAGUGGUAGAAGAAGCACCGGCUAACUACGUG